GUAGGCAAGAUUUUCAAGUUGUUAGCCAUGCAAAAGGGCAAGCUAGCUGAUUGGUUGUGUGCAGUGGCGAAUCUUGACAGAAAAUAAAGGGAGGGCUCAAUGUUAACCAUGUGAAGAAAAAAACAUUAACUAUCAGUUUUUUAGUUUAGAUAAUGUUUUUUUAUGAUUAAUACUAGCAAUUUUGUUUUCUAAUUUUUGGAGGGGCAGCUUAAGCCUGUUGAAGCACCCCCCCUUGGAUUCGCCACUGGUUGUGUGCAGUACUCUGGUUUUCAGGUUUCUUCUUACAUGGAUUCUUUGUUGUAUUUUAAUAAGGAUCCAGAUCAAUGAUUUUGCAAUGAACACAUGUGUGGUGGAAGGGGCCUUGAGAUUUCCAUGUUGGGGAAGAAGUGGUCUUUUGCUGCAGGGAAGGGAAGGGCACCAGGGCCUAGAUUUGAGAAUGCUGGAGUGUGUAGACAUUCCCAAACCAUCAUAUUGGGGGAAGAGAUAAGGAAGUACUAAUUUGUUAUGGCUUUAUUUAUGUCGCUCUGGUGGUACACUCGCUUUGCCUAUCCACCGAGAGAGGAGGAUGGUGGAUUCAAAAUUUCAUAGUUUCUUGCGUAUCUGAGUUCUCAAUUUUAUGUAAAUGUUGUAUAGUAUUUGUGUUGAUGCGUUUGUUCUUGUAGAUGCAUUCUCACACAUAUGAUCCUUUAUAUUCACAUUUAUUGACACUUAUUUUGAUGUGUUAUUA